CUUUUAUACGUCUUUAAUUAUAUUUAAAAUUGUCUAGUCUUUUUAUAUUUGGUUCAUAGUUCGCAACCUUUAUUUAUUUGCCUGAGUUGGAGAAAAUCGAAUCCAAACAAUGCAGUUUUCGAAUCGAUAUCUUAUAAAUUGAAGGACGAAACGGGUGGCUAAUCAACUCAGCUCGUCGAUUGAUAUUUGAUUUCAAAACAAUAGGUUACGAAAAAUAGUUCACACCUGAGAAACAUAAAUGAAUCCAAAAAAGGGUUGGUAACCAGAAAAAUGGAGCGACGGCGCGUUGUCAGAAACACGAGAAAAAUACCCAGAAACGAUUCUUUUACAUAUGGCUGAAGUGACUGUCGGUUUUAGCCAAAAAA